UACGUAGGCAGCAAGCGUUGUUCGGAAUUACUGGGCGUAAAGAGUGUGUAGGCGGUUCUCUAUGUUCGGUGUGAAAUCUCCCGGCUUAACUGGGAGGGUGCGCCGAAAACUGGAGGGCUUGAGUAUGGGAGAGGAAAGCGGAAUUCCUGGUGUAGCGGUGAAAUGCGUAGAUAUCAGGAGGAACACCUGCGGUGUAGACGGCCUUCUGGACCAUCACUGACGCUGAGACACGAAAGCGUGGGGAGCAAACAGG
rnacentral:rRNA from 1 species